rnacentral:lncRNA from 1 species
GUGAAAGAAGAUGGCCACAGAGACAGACAGCAGCGUGGUCAGAGUGGUAGGAGCCGGCCAUCAGCGAGAGCUGCUCCAUGCCUGGCUGCUGGGUGCUAGAGUCUGCGGCCCACUGGCUUGCCUCACUGUGGUUGGUGGUGGCGGUGACAGAGACUGCAGCAUGACCAGAGUGGCUUUUCUGGCUUUGCCCGCCCAGCUGCUCCAUGCCAGGAGGAGGAGGAGACACCUAGAGCCUGCAACACCACGGCUCGCCUCGCUACAGGUGGGUGGCAGUGACGGAGACUGCAGUGCACCAGAGCGUGAGUUGUCUUAUCAAGGAGAAGAACUCAAGCUGAUUAUUCUUUUUUUUCUCUUCCAUCCACCUCG